GACGAACGCUGGCGGCGUGCCUAAUACAUGCAAGUAGAACGCUGAAGGAGGAGCUUGCUUCUCUGGAUGAGUUGCGAACGGGUGAGUAACGCGUAGGUAACCUGCCUGGUAGCGGGGGAUAACUAUUGGAAACGAUAGCUAAUACCGCAUAACAGUAGAUGUUGCAUGACAUUUGCUUAAAAGGUGCAAUUGCAUCACUACCAGAUGGACCUGCGUUGUAUUAGCUAGUUGGUGGGGUAACGGCUCACCAAGGCGACGAUACAUAGCCGACCUGAGAGGGUGAUCGGCCACACUGGGACUGAGACACGGCCCAGACUCCUACGGGAGGCAGCAGUAGGGAAUCUUCGGCAAUGGACGAAAGUCUGACCGAGCAACGCCGCGUGAGUGAAGAAGGUUUUCGGAUCGUAAAGCUCUGUUGUAAGAGGAGAACGAGUGUGAGAGUGGAAAGUUCACACUG
rnacentral:rRNA from 1 species